GUACGGGAGGCAGCAGUGGGGAAUAUUGCACAAUGGGGGAAACCCUGAUGCAGCAACGCCGCGUGAGUGAUGAAGGCCUUCGGGUUGUAAAGCUCUGUCUUCAGGGACGAUAAUGACGGUACCUGAGGAGGAAGCCACGGCUAACUACGUGCCAGCAGCCGCGGUAAUACGUAGGUGGCAAGCGUUGUCCGGAUUUACUGGGCGUAAAGGGAGCGUAGGCGGAUACUUAAGUGGGAUGUGAAAUACCCGGGCUCAACUUGGGUGCUGCAUUCCAAACUGGGUGUCUAGAGUGCAGGAGAGGAAAGUGGAAUUCCUAGUGUAGCGGUGAAAUGCGUAGAGAUUAGGAAGAACACCAGUGGCGAAGGCGACUUUCUGGACUGUAACUGACGCUGAGGCUCGAAAGCGUGGGGAGCAAACAGGAUUAGAUACCCGUGUAGUCC
rnacentral:rRNA from 1 species